rnacentral:rRNA from 1 species
CCUACGGGAGGCUGCAGUGGGGAAUAUUGGACAAUGGGCGAAAGCCUGAUCCAGCCAUGCCGCGUGUGUGAAGAAGGCCUUCGGGUUGUAAAGCACUUUCAGUGGGGAAGAAAGCCUUGGGGCUAAUACCCUCGAGGAAGGACAUCACCCACAGAAGAAGCACCGGCUAACUCCGUGCCAGCAGCCGCGGUAAUACGGAGGGUGCGAGCGUUAAUCGGAAUUACUGGGCGUAAAGCGCGCGUAGGCGGUCUGAUAAGCCGGUUGUGAAAGCCCCGGGCUCAACCUGGGAACGGCAUCCGGAACUGUCAGGCUAGAGUGCAGGAGAGGAAGGUAGAAUUCCCGGUGUAGCGGUGAAAUGCGUAGAGAUCGGGAGGAAUACCAGUGGCGAAGGCGGCCUUCUGGACUGACACUGACGCUGAGGUACGAAAGCGUGGGUAGCAAACAGGAUUAGAUACCCGAGUAGUC